UACGUAGGGACCAAGCGUUGUUCGGAUUUACUGGGCGUAAAGGGCGCGUAGGCGGCGUGACAAGUCACUUGUGAAAUCCCCGGGCUUAACCUGGGAACUGCAUUUGUGACUGCAAGGCUGGAGUGCGGCAGAGGGGGAUGGAAUUCCGCGUGUAGCAGUGAAAUGCGUAGAUAUGCGGAGGAACACCGAUGGCGAAGGCAAUCCCCUGGGCCUGCACUGACGCUCAUGCACGAAAGCGUGGGGAGCAAACAGG
rnacentral:rRNA from 1 species